GGCGGCGGUCCCGGCCGGCUGUGGGGCCGUGAGGGCACCAAGGGGCAGCAGCCAUUCCCUGCGCCUCUUGGUGAAAGUUGAGGGGACCCCAUGGGCCGCAAGUUGCCGUGAAGGGCCGUGAACCAGUGGGAACUCAUGUUUGUCACCCAUCAGGAUUGAAGUGAUGUGGAGAGCCCUGCGUGCCCCAGCAGUAUGGGGGAUGUAGUCAGGAGGCAAGGAGGAGCAAAGGAGGAGAGUAUCGCCUCAUCUUCUGCUUGCAACAAUCCCAGGCCACCUGGCAUGGGAGGGGUAUGGGCAUAGCAGAGAACAUGUGAAUCACACUGGACGUGCAGCUCAGUGCAGAGAUCUCUGGGGUAAUCACCCCACCUUUCCAUCCUGAGCUGCAGAACAGCAAUGUAAUGUGUAAGUCAGUGUGCACUGAGAGAUCAUCCCAGCACGGAAGGUAAGUACUGGUGUCUUAUCACAGUCUAACAGGCCAUACAGGCUUAUCCAAAGAAAGUACUCUCUCAGCAGAUGAGCUAGAUAAAAUGGUUGAUCAGAGUCUGUUGACAUAUGGCCCAGCAUCUAUAAUUAAGUCACUAGGGAAGGUGGUGUGGGGUGCUGUAACAAAGGUAGGAUCCAGUUUAGACAGAGCUUUCAGCAAAUCUUAAAAUGCUUUCUGAAUAAAGCCCAGUGAGGUAAUAGCCACUUCUGACUUACUGCAUGCUAGAAAUUUGUCAAAUAGUGGUGAGGAAGAGGGGGUAGAGGGUCCACUGAUUAUUAAACACAUAAAUUGGAUAUAUUUUGGUGGUUUUGCACCUGUGACUCUCAACAUCCUCUUUUCAGUCAAAAGUGAAGAAGAGGUGUGUGUUUGUGUCAGAAGUGCUAUAAUGAACAGCACAUUGAGACUACUACCAGUUUAUAAUAAUGACUGGUAUUCCCUGUUCUGCAAGACUGGAAAGGAAAAGGCAUGUCCAAUGAAUAGAAAUGUAUCCUUGGAUUUUGGUUCUUGAGGUGACCUCGACUCCAUGAAUCUGCAGAACAAUUAUAGUACAGAACAGUUGAUUGCUUCUCUGUUUGUGUGGCAAUAGAUUAUGGAAUAAGACAAAAGGAACCUUCAGUACCUAACCCUGAUAGGCUUUUUUUUGUGAAGAAAAACACCACCAAAAUACGGUGUAAUGUAAGAAAAUGGCCUUAGUUUUAUUUCUAUUGUUCUAAAUUAAAAAAAAAAAAACAACCCACCAAGUGUUUUACAUUUAAAAAAUCCACAAUCAGAACUGUGUUUGCAACUGAAGUCAUCCAUCAACGCUGCAUUUCUUUUGAGGACUCUGGGUGCGGUUUUACACUUACAUUCAUUUAAUGCUUGGUUGGGGAUGGCAUUAUUUGCAAUUUACACAAUUCUGAGGCAUGAGCGUUGUGUGAAACUAGUAAAACAUAGGGGAAGAUUUUGUGAGGUUAAAAAGGCAGAGGAGACCUAGAGAGAGGAUUUGUUCUUUGAUCCAGGAGGUAGGAGACCAGACUAGCACAGAUGCUGAGCCCUUGGCUUCUGCUGGAGAUCUGUAUAUGCAGCAUCUCGGUCUGUCAGACUUGGAAUAACUGGGAAACCUGGAUGGCAGCCAAACACAACACAUUUUUAUUUGAAGCAGUCUAUUUUUCUUAUUUUUUAAUGAUUUCCUCUAUAUGUAUAUUAUUUUUUAAAAACCCUAAGCGGUUCUGUAAAGUGCAUAUGCUUCUUGUGGUCGGGGUGAGGGUACUGGUUGUGGUGCUGAAAGAAUUGUGGUAGGGAAAGAGUUUCUGCUGAUGUCUGCUGACACUGACAACUUGCAUCAGAGAAAGGAACUCCGCAACUCGGAUCCGUGUUCACGUGGGUAAGUGUACUCUCGGGACAGGAGAAUAAACAUGGGUCCUGUUGAGGCACACGCGUCAUAGAAAGAGGAAGAAACUGUUAUGUAAAGCUGAAGGUCAGAUCAAGACGGUCAUUCAUGUUACUAAUAUAUUUAAUUCUGCAAACAAUGGGAUUCUCAGCUGCACCUUAGCUUUGGAACAAACCCUGCUCAUGCCUGUAAAGAGACCAGUGGAAGUCACUAUUUUCAUGAAUUUUAGGUGAGUUUUAGAUGGGUCAAAUCUCAACCUUCUCGCUUCAGUCUUCAGCAGGAAAUCAGCCACUCUCCAAUAAACCUUUAGACAGUUGGGGUUUUUUUUGCACACAAGAGCAGAAGACUCCUUGUGCUUUAUACAACCACCCUACUUCCUUUCAAAUUAAACUGUAAAAUGAGCCCACGGCUUCGCAGGUGCUGGAGGCGAGGCGCGGGGCGAGCGGCAGCUCCUCCCCCCGCAGUGGGAGGCCUCUGGGCUGGGGCGCGGGGGGGCCGAGCACCAGAGCCACGGC